rnacentral:tRNA from 1 species
GCGCCCGUAGCUCAGCUGGUAGAGCAGCUCCCUUUUAAGGAGAAGGUCGCAGGAUCGUUCCCUGCCGGGCGCACCA